AAAAAGGAGAGAGAAUUCUUGACUAAUCGAAUUCCACUAGCGGAUUCAGCUUUAUGUAAAUUGACUUUCAUUUUUCUACGGAAUUGCCACAGUAGUAUAGAAUAAGGUGGUAUUUUUAAUACUUCAGCGCAUCUUUUGAUCCAUUUGUAUUUGGUGACAUACCAAGCGCAACCUACGCUGUGCAUCCAUUUGAUACAAAAAAAUAAGGAUGAUGUUGCGUAUGUCUUAAGAAAAGAAAUUGAUACCACUCAUUACGCAAAUCGUUGCCAAUCGAAGAAAAAAAUUAGUGGCCACCGGAGGACUCUAAAAUGAAACACCUGCUGAGGAUUACCUUAUAGAUCCAUCUGGAAAAACUAUUCAAGAGGAAAUCGGAUAGUGGAAGUAGUUCUUCGAUCGGCAAUUUGUUAAGAGACGCGGAAGAAAAUGGUCAGAGCAGAGGCAGCCGUUUGUUCGAAAUGAAAAAGCAGUCGUUGUCGGCCGGCGAGAUACCAAGUUCACUGACUCCGAUGACUAAUACGAAAUUAAUUACUCGACCGCUAACGUUUCCUUCCAGACGCCUUAAUGGCGCUCCGGCUACAUGGAAACUAUGCGAAAUUUACCGGGGUAGAACCAGCAAAUCGUGGAAAUCGUUAAUUACCGUUCGUUUCUAAG